UUGACGGAGAGUUUGAUCCUGGCUCAGGACGAACGCUGGCGGCGUGCUUAACACAUGCAAGUCGAACGAGGUCCACUGAGUAGCAAUACAAGGGAAGACCUAGUGGCGAACGGGUGAGUAUCACGUGAGAAACCAACCCCGGUCUCUGGGAUAACAGUUGGAAACGACUGCUAAUACUGGAUGUCGUCGUACCCUCGCAUGGGGGGAUGACGAAAGGGUUACCGGAUCGGGACGGUCUCGCGGCCUAUCAGCUUGUUGGGGAGGUAACGGCUCACCAAGGCUUCGACGGGUAGCUGGUCUGAGAGGAUGAUCAGCCACACUGGGACUGAGACACGGCCCAGACUCCUACGGGAGGCAGCAGUGGGGAAUCUUGCGCAAUGGGCGAAAGCCUGACGCAGCAACGCCGCGUGCGGGAUGAAGGCCUUCGGGUUGUAAACCGCUUUUAACAGGAACGAAAAUGACGGUACCUGUAGAAUAAGGUGCGGCCAACUACGUGCCAGCAGCCGCGGUGACACGUAGGCACCAAGCGUUGUCCGGAUUUAUUGGGCGUAAAGA
rnacentral:rRNA from 1 species